rnacentral:rRNA from 1 species
UGAGGAAUAUUGGUCAAUGGACGAGAGUCUGAACCAGCCAAGUAGCGUGAAGGAUGACUGCCCUAUGGGUUGUAAACUUCUUUUAUAUGGGAAUAAAGUGCAGUAUGUAUACUGUUUUGUAUGUACCAUACGAAUAAGGAUCGGCUAACUCCGUGCCAGCAGCCGCGGUAAUACGGAGGAUCCAAGCGUUAUCCGGAUUUAUUGGGUUUAAAGGGAGCGUAGGCGGAUUAUUAAGUCAGUUGUGAAAGUUUGCGGCUCAACCGUAAAAUUGCAGUUGAUACUGGUAGUCUUGAGUGCAGCAGAGGUAGGCGGAAUUCGUGGUGUAGCGGUGAAAUGCUUAGAUAUCACGAAGAACUCCGAUUGCGAAGGCAGCUUACUGGACUGUAACUGACGCUGAUGCUCGAAAGUGUGGGUAUCAAACAGGAUUAGAUACCCUGGUAGUCCACACAGUAAACGAUGAAUACUCGCUGUUUGCGAUAUACAGCAAGCGGCCAAGCGAAAACAUUAAGUAUUCCACCUGGGGAGUACGCCGGCAACGGUGAAACUCAAAGGAAUUGACGGGGGCCCGCACAAGCGGAGGAACAUGUGGUUUAAUUCGAUGAUACGCGAGGAACCUUACCCGGGCUUAAAUUGCAACUGACGGAUUUGGAAACAGAUCUUCCUUCGGGCAGUUGUGAAGGUGCUGCAUGGUUGUCGUCAGCUCGUGCCGUGAGGUGUCGGCUUAAGUGCCAUAACGAGCGCAACCCUUAUCUUUAGUUACUAACAGGUCAUGCUGAGGACUCUAGAGAGACUGCCGUCGUAAGAUGUGAGGAAGGUGGGGAUGACGUCAAAUCAGCACGGCCCUUACGUCCGGGGCUACACACGUGUUACAAUGGGGGGUACAGAAGGCAGCUACACAGCGAUGUGAUGCUAAUCCCAAAAGCCUCUCUCAGUUCGGAUUGGAGUCUGCAACCCGACUCCAUGAAGCUGGAUUCGCUAGUAAUCGCGCAUCAGCCACGGCGCGGUGAAUACGUUCCC